rnacentral:rRNA from 1 species
CGUGUAGGCGGCCGAUUAAGUCUGGAGUGAAAGUCCUGCUUUCAAGGUGGGAAUUGCUUUGGAUACUGGUUGGCUUGAGUGCGGAAGAGGUAAGUGGAAUUCCCAGUGUAGCGGUGAAAUGCGUAGAGAUUGGGAGGAACACCAGUGGCGAAGGCGACUUACUGGGCCGUAAACUGACGCUGAGGCGCGAAAGCGUGGGGAGCGAACA